AUUUUUUGAUAUAUGGUACACGAAAUGAAGAGUGAUAUAAGAUGCAGUAUCUUCAUGACUGAUAGGGAGAUUUGCUAGGAGCGAAAUUUAUUGAUUUAUAGCACAAUUAUUUAUGGUAAUUAAUCUUCGGAUUGGCUUUACAAGGAUUCCAAUUUAUUAAUAAAUCUUCGGUUACAUUGAAAUUGCCACUGAAUGCAAUCCGCCCAAGUGUGUCAAGUGAAACGGCCUUAAUUGUAUUAUUUUAGGGAAUGUACUCCAAUUAUAUUACGCUAAAACAAGACAAUUUAUGAAAAAAUAAUUUUAAAUUUGAUUAAAAAAAAACAAAUAGAAAUAAUGAAGAAAAAUUACUUAUUAUAGUAUCAGCGUGAAUUUCCAAGAUUCAACAUUCAAAAGAUUCAACACUUAAUUUAAUAUCAUUUGAUAUCAAUUUAACGUAUUUCGUGCCAUCUUUUUCAUAAAGCUCACCGACCAUUGUAUUUGUCGAUUUUAUGUUCGUUAGAAAUAAAUCAAUUUAACAAUUUUAAUUAAACGAAAUGAAUUAAAAUUAUUUAAAUUCGGAACUCCCCACUACUUUUAAUUGCAAAACUAAAAUUUUUUCUUGCAUGUUAUAAGUAGCAUUUAUUCUCAUUUGUGGUAAAAUUAACUCUUAACAGUUACUGAUAAAUAAAAUUACGAAAACAUCGGCAUUUAUAUAUUCAUAGUCAUCCCGAUUAUUAUCUAAUCGUCAAGUCGACGAGGUAUGAAUGAUUAAUAAAACUAUGUUUUAUCUAGAACUAUUAGAACAUAAGGCACUCUUUACAGAAAAAAUAGUGAUGGAGUGAUCUGCCACUCAAUAUUUCUGUAAUUUAUAAUGACUUGAUUUAGCUGCAGAAUUAAGCUGUUACAAAAAGGAUUUUCAAGGCUAAAAAUAAAGUUGCAUGUAAAAAUAA